rnacentral:lncRNA from 1 species
AUGACUGCUACUUCUGGAACUUUACUGAGUUCUGCAACAACCUCAACAACUGCGCAUACAGAUAUAAAAAUGAUAGCAUAUGUGUACUGCCACCUGGUCUUCAACUCUUCCACACCCAUCGCCAGUGACACCGCAGCAGUUAAUACUACACGCACACUUCUGUUGUCUUUAUCUGCAAGCUUCAAUCAAACAAUUCAGAUGGAAAAUGUGACAUAUGAAGAAAUAUCAGGCACUUCAUAUGCAGUUAUCAUCAGCUUAAGGCUAAACAAUGUCAGCAUGCCAGAGAAAAGUGAAUCUGCAAACGACACAUAUAGCCGAAUUCAGAAUACUAUUAAUAACAUGCUCAACACAGUCGUCAGUGAUUUUGGACAAAGUCCUUUGACUUUCCAAAGUGCAAACUUCAUGAUGAAUUCAGAUUAUAUUGAAGGGCACAUGGAGUAUAUCAUCCAGGAAAAUGAAAGUGCAGGUAUGAUCAGUACCACUAUGGUGCCCAUGAUUCCAGUGUCAAUCACCCCUCAAGUCAACAUAGUGGGGUCAGCGCUCAUCUACGCUCAUGUGGUCUUCAACUCUUCCACACCCAUCGCCAGUGACACCGCAGCAGUUAAUACUACGCACACACUUCUGUUGUCUUUGUCUGCAAACUUCUAUCAAACAAUUCAGGUGGAGAAUGUGACAUAUGAACAAAUAUCAGACACUUCAUAUGCAGUCAUCAUCAGCUUAAGGCUAAACAAUGUCAGCAUGCCAGAGAAAAGUGAAUCUGCAAACGACACAUAUAGCCAAAUUCAGAAUACUAUUAACAACAUGCUCAACACAGUCUUCAGUGAUUUUGGACAAAGUCUUUUGACUUUCCAAAGUGCAAACUUCAUGAUGAAUUCAGAUUAUAUUGAAGGGCACAUGGAGUAUCUCAUCCAUGAAAAUGAAAGUGCAGGUAUGAUCAGUACCACUACGGUGACCCUGUUUCCAGCUUUAAUCAAACCUCAAGUCAACAUAGUGGGGUCAGCUCUCAUCUACGCUUAUCUGGUCUUCAACUCUUCCACACCCAUCACCAGUGAGACCGCAGCAGUUAAUACUACACGCACACUUCUGUUGUCUUUGUCUGCAAACUUCUAUGAAACAAUUCAGGUGGAGAAUGUGACAUAUGAACAAAGUUCAGAGACCUCAUAUGCAGUUAUUAUCAGCUUAAGGCUAAGCAAUGUCAGCAUGCCAGAGUUAAGUGAAUCUGCAAAUGACACAUAUAACCAAAUUCAGAAUACUAUUAACAACAUGCUCAACACAGUCUUCAGUGAACAUGGACAAACUCUUUUGAUCUUUCAAUAUGCAAACUUUAUGACAAAUUCAGAUCAAAUUGAAGGGCUCAUGGAAUAUACAAUCCAGGAAAGUGAAACUACCACACUAUUUACAACUACAGCCACAUCAAUGUCUACAACAGAGGGUUUUGAUACAGCAAGCGCAACUGAAGCUGAGCCUGCUAGCACAAAAAUUACACUGUAUGUAUUAUAA